CGUAAGAUGAGACUUGCUCCUCCUUGCCUUCCACCAUGAUUGUGAGGCCUCCCCAGCCAUGUGGAACUGAGCAGAUGAUGCUCAAAAGAACAAAUCAGGAAAGAGGAAAGAAUAAAAGGCCAUUUGUGGUACAUCUGAAUCAGCCUGGUGAAUAAGAUUUGGGUUCCUCAAGACAGAGAAGGAGACUGUCCCAACGCGUCCCGCAGCCCACCCUGCCUCGAAACUCCCUGCGGUGAUGUCGGGGCUAGAGGAAUCCAGGGCUUGGUCCCUGCAGCUGAGGCCUACGGGAUAUCCCAGGAAAGAGCAGCCUCUCCGUAGUGGUGAAGAGUCUCUCAAGCCUUAGCGCUCUGGUGACCUCCGCGGGAUUCUGAGAAAAGCACUGCGGAACGGCGGGAGCGGGCCCUGCUGCUUGCUUCGCGCCCCCCACCCGCCCGGGGACCGCGACUAAGUCCCCGACGCAGCUCUUCCCUUUUCCUGAAUACCCUGGGACUCUGCUCCCGAGUUCCAGCUCCGAGGACUCAAAGACAGUCUCCGUUCCUCACUCUUCAAAGACCACCUCCUUUUCUAGAGGUGGGCUCCCCGACCUUGCGCUUCUAGAGCUGCAGGAGCGGCGCUGCACAGGUCUGACAAGCCCAGCUCAUUGGCGGGUAUCUGAGCCAUCAGUCUGAAAGACAUUUGGGGAAAAUUCAUAGAACAUAGAAAUUCAUAUUAUACAUAUUCAUAUUAUACAUUCAUAUUAUACAUUGUGUAUAUUAUAUAAUAUAUAUAUAGUCCAUAAAUUA
rnacentral:lncRNA from 1 species